AUUGAACGCUGGCGGCAGGCCUAACACAUGCAAGUCGAGCGAGCGGCGGACGGGUGAGUAAUGUCUGGGAAACUGCCUGAUGGAGGGGGAUAACUACUGGAAACGGUAGCUAAUACCGCAUACCAUCAGAUGUGCCCAGAUGGGAUUAGCUAGUAGGUGGGGUAACGGCUCACCUAGGCGACGAUCCCUAGCUGGUCUGAGAGGAUGACCAGCCACACUGGAACUGAGACACGGUCCAGAGUCCUACGGGAGGCAGAAGUGGGGAAUAUUGCACAAUGGGAGCAAGCCUGAUGCAGCCCUGCCGAGGGUGUGAAGAAGGCCUUCGGGUUGUAAAGCACUUUCAGCGGGGAGGCGUUACCCGCAGAAGAAGGACCGGCUAACUCCGUGCCAGCCGCCGCGGUAAUUC
rnacentral:rRNA from 1 species